rnacentral:rRNA from 1 species
GACGUAGGGCGCGAGCGUUGUCCGGAUUUAUUGGGCGUAAAGAGCUCGUAGGCGGCUUGUCGCGUCGUCCGUGAAAACCCACAGCUCAACUGUGGGCUUGCGGUCGAUACGGGCAGACUGGAGUACUGCAGGGGAGACUGGAAUUCCUGGUGUAGCGGUGAAAUGCGCAGAUAUCAGGAGGAACACCGGUGGCGAAGGCGGGUCUCUGGGCCGAUACUGACGCUGAGGAGCGAAAGCGUGGGGAGCAAACAGG